GUGAAUCAUCGAAUUUUUGAACGCAAAUUGCACUCUCUUCGGAGAGUAUGCCUGUUUGAGGGUCAGUAUUAAUAAAAAUCGGUGUGUUGCUUCUUUGUGACGCUCCGGAGUUUGGAUCAUCUUAAUAUCCUUUAGGUUUUAAGAGGCUUAAAAUUGACUUUUUUUGCGCAUUUUAGAUGUACAUAAAUUCUUUUUUUUUUUGUUUGUCUUUAUUCCCAAAAUCCUUUUUAAUGGGGACC
rnacentral:misc_RNA from 1 species